rnacentral:lncRNA from 1 species
AAAGUUUACCUGCUUUCUGCUUGUUUCCAGAGCCUAUGGUUUUCCUAAUGAUUGCAGAGAUCAUAAUAAUGCAGUGAUUCAGGGACAUGACUAAUGUGUUUUACCCUGAUAGAAUGCCACUCUUGUCUACACCCUAAGAGCUGCAAGUAGUCACUAACCCCUGAUUUGUCAUCUUUAUGGAGCUAAAUAUAAAUGUAGCCACUAACUGAAAGACAUGAGUCAUAGUGGAGUCAGUUACAAACUUUGUCCAGCACCAAGGCUAUCGUGAUGAACAGGGACUCUUACUUCUGUUGGUGGCCAUAAGUCAUGAUGUCUAAAAUGCAGAAAUAGAAAGAACAUUUUUAUUCUAACACACAUACCUAUAAUAAUGUCAGAAGGAAAAGCAGGAAAUUAUGGUAGGGUAAAUUGGUUUUGAAAAAUAUAAGUAUUAUUUUCCUUCCAAGGUCUUAUCAUGAGAACAUCCCACUUUUCAAAUCUCUGAAGUCCCUUCACCCUCUUUAAUUGUGCCUCCUUGUUUUCCUCUCCUGCUUCAUCCGGAGUCACGGUUACAGAAGAGCCAACACUAUCUCCUUUCUGAACAAUAUUAUCGUUUCUGAUUUCCAAGAGUAAAGCAACCUCAAAUUCAAACUGCCUGUGAUGAAGGAGAGGCGUGGAGGCACCGUCCGUGAGAGGCAGACAACAGAAAGUCACAGACCACAGUAUGAGUUAAAAUAGGAAAUAUCAUCUGGAUGGCACGAAUUAACUAUAUCCCAGAGACAAGGAAGGAGCCAGAUUCGAAAUCCAAACUGUCUAGGAAGUAAUCUUCAGAAGCAGCUGUUAAAACAGAACACUUUCUGCUAUCUGCCAGGUGAGAUGCUUGACUUCUAAGUUUUCAAUGUUAAACAGGACAAGCUUCAUUCUCUAUCUUCUCCGAGAGGACUUCAUCUUCUCUUUGAAAGACUUCAGA